rnacentral:rRNA from 1 species
CUUGCGUUCUGUCAACGGUCCGGCGGCUCUUAGUUCUGGCAAUCUCUCAUUCCGCUUUUGCCUGUCCUGCGCAUUGGCACCUCAAUUUCGGUGGGCUCGGGCGCGGCCACUCUCUUCCGGUUUGACCGGUAGGCUGGCGAGGUCCCUUUCGCGGCCCGCUUCCCAGAUUUAAUCUCCAUUGCCGUUGACCCUCGGGUCUCGGUCGAGACGGCCCUUCUUGACUUAGGGAGUCUCGCCUUCCGCCGCCCGUUUGGGGCUGCGAAACUAGCAGCCUGGCACGAGCUCCUUGACGCUGUGGCCCACCAUGAACCGGCCCUCUCACCUGCGCCUGAUCGGGUCUCCUGGCGCCUUGAGGCCUCGGGCCGCUUCUCCACUCGAUCCCUAUACCGCACCAUUGUGACAACCCCCGCCCCGCCCCCUUCGAGACAUCACUGGUCUAUCCAUAUACCCCUGAAGAUUCGCAUCUUCCUGUGGCAAUGGAUCCGCGGCCGCCUCCCGUCUGGUGUGGAGGUGCGUAAGCGCAAUGGGCCUGGCGAUGGUCUGUGUCCCCUGUGCGGUACCCCUGAGGAAUCGGACCACAUUUUCCUCUCUCGUGUCUCGGCCCAAUUCAUGUGGAGCUGUGCGCGCGAGACGUUCGGUGGAAAUUGGUUCCACACCAACUUCCCGGACCUCUUCACCGAAAUUCAGGCCUCGCCUCCUACUCAUCGCCACAUUAGGUGGCUGGUUAUUGGGGCUCUGGCCUGGACGCUCUGGAUGAUUAGGAACAAGCUUGUUAUUUAG